UUUUUUUUAAUCGCAUAAUAGGGUACAGKGGUCUUACUAAAAGUAUCUUCUUGGAAAARARRAUUGAGGACUUGGAUAGUUACCCUAUUUUUGCACAUUUUCGGGAACAUUUAUCUUAUACUUUUUUUUUUAUUAACCCCUUAUUAUUAUUAUUUAUAUUAUACUGAUUCAUACAACGCGUAGCGGUGGAUGUCUCGGCUCCCACAUCGAUGAAGAACGCAGCAAACUGCGAAACGUAAUGCGAAUUGUAGUACUCGUGAAUCAUCGAAUUUUUGAACGCAUGUUGCGCUCGUGGGUAAUCCUACGAGCAUACCUGUUUGAGUGUCCGUUUAUGCUAUUAUUAAACGCAAGUUAAUUUUGGGGUUCCAGUGGGAAUUCGCGACCUUGAUCUCUUGGGAUUUAUUCUAGGAUCGAACAGGAAGUGUUUUCUCACGCCGGAAUGCCAGCUGUUGGGUGUUUGUCCUCGCGGAUGUCAGUCGUCGUCAAAGUUAGAAACCUACUUGUAGUGCUUCUUUCAUUGCUCGGUGCAAUCUGUGUGGUCACCUGAAAUUUUUAGCCUCGUUUCUUUGUCAUAAGUAUAUUCUUAAUUAUAAACGUUAAAGACCCCCUCGGUCGAUGCGAUCUAGUACCCUUUGUUGGAAAAGAUUGAGUCCUUCUUUGAGGUUGAUUCUCUUUUCUAACGCCUAAUGGGUAUUGUUUUCUGCGUCCUGGGGAUUGUAUGGGUUUUUUGUGCGGGGAAUAGAACGAUAGAGCGACGUUUAGGACGACGGAUUUCUUUCUUCGGAAAGGGAAAAAACCGGCC
rnacentral:sRNA from 1 species